AGCGAACGCUGGCGGCAGGCCUAACACAUGCAAGUCGAACGGACCCUUCGGGGUUAGUGGCGGACGGGCGAGUAACACGUGGGAACGUGCCUUUAGGUUCGGAAUAGCUCCUGGAAACGGGUGGUAAUGCCGAAUGUGCCCUUCGGGGGAAAGAUUUAUCGCCUUUAGAGCGGCCCGCGUCUGAUUAGCCGGUUGGUGAGGUAAUGGCACACCAAGGCGACGACCAGUAGCUGGUCUGAGAGGAUGACCAGCCACAUUGGGACUGAGACACGGCCCAAACUCCUACAGGAGGCAGCAGUGGGGAAUCUUGCGCAAUGUGCGAAAGCCUGACGCAGCCAUGCCGCGUGGAUGAUGAAGGUCUUAGGAUUGUAAAAUCCUUUCACCGGUGAAGAUAAUGACUGUAGCCGGAGAAGAAGCCCCGGCUAACUUCGUGCCAGCAGCCGCCGCUGUAA
rnacentral:rRNA from 1 species